rnacentral:rRNA from 1 species
CGGGUGAGUAACACGUGGGUGACCUGCCUUCGAGCGGGGGAUAACGUCCCGAAAGGGACGCUAAUACCGCAUGGCAUCCUGCCUUUUAAGAGGUGGAGAUCAAAGCCGGGGAUCGCAAGACCUGGCACUUGAAGAGGGGCCCGCGCCUGAUUAGCUAGUUGGUGGGGUAAUGGCUCACCAAGGCAACGAUCAGUAUCCGGCCUGAGAGGGCGGACGGACACACUGGGAYUGAGACACGGCCCAGACUCCUACGGGAGGCAGCAGUGGGGAAUUGUUCGCAAUGGGCGCAAGCCUGACGACGCAACGCCGCGUGGAGGAUGAAGACCUUCGGGUCGUAAACUCCUUUCGAUCGAGACGAAUGGUUUUCGGGUGAAUAAUCCGGAGAAAUGACGGUACCGAGAGAAG